rnacentral:rRNA from 1 species
UACGGAGGGAGCUAGCGUUAUUCGGAAUUACUGGGCGUAAAGCGCACGUAGGCGGCUUUGUAAGUAAGAGGUGAAAGCCCAGAGCUCAACUCUGGAAUUGCCUUUUAGACUGCAUCGCUUGAAUCAUGGAGAGGUCAGUGGAAUUCCGAGUGUAGAGGUGAAAUUCGUAGAUAUUCGGAAGAACACCAGUGGCGAAGGCGGCUGACUGGACAUGUAUUGACGCUGAGGUGCGAAAAGCGUGGGGAGCAAACAGG